GAGUUUGAUCCUGGCUCAGAUUGAACGCUGGCGGCAUGCCUUACACAUGCAAGUCGAACGGCAGCACGGGGGCAACCCUGGUGGCGAGUGGCGAACGGGUGAGUAAUACAUCGGAACGUGUCCUGUAGUGGGGGAUAGCCCGGCGAAAGCCGGAUUAAUACCGCAUACGAUCUGUGGAUGAAAGCGGGGGAUCCUUCGGGACCUCGCGCUACAGGGGCGGCCGAUGGCAGAUUAGCUAGUUGGUGGGGUAAAGGCCUACCAAGGCGACGAUCUGUAGCUGGUCUGAGAGGACGACCAGCCACACUGGGACUGAGACACGGCCCAGACUCCUACGGGAGGCAGCAGUGGGGAAUUUUGGACAAUGGGCGAAAGCCUGAUCCAGCAAUGCCGCGUGUGUGAAGAAGGCCUUCGGGUUGUAAAGCACUUUUGUCCGGAAAGAAAGCUUCGUCCCUAAUAUGGAUGGAGGAUGACGGUACCGGAAGAAUAAGCACCGGCUAACUACGUGCCAGCAGCCGCGGUAAUACG
rnacentral:rRNA from 1 species